GACGGAGGGUGCUAGCGUUGUUCGGAAUUACUGGGCGUAAAGGGCGCGUAGGCGGCCUGGUCAGUCGGAUGUGAAAGCCCGGGGCUCAACCCCGGAACGGCAUCCGAGACGGCCAGGCUGGAGACCGGGAGAGGAGAGUGGAAUAGCCAGUGUAGAGGUGAAAUUCGUAGAUAUUGGCUGGAACACCGGUGGCGAAAGCGGCUCUCUGGCCCGAUACUGACGCUGAGGCACGAAAGCGUGGGGAGCAAACAGG
rnacentral:rRNA from 1 species